AAUGUACGUUAAUUUGUAGGUUAAACUUAAAUUUAUAUAUGGUUUUUAUUUUCGAUCUUUUUAUGCUUUUUUGCCUCUUGAGCAGAACAUAACAAUAAAAAGGUAGAAUAUUGGAUGAAGUAAAUUAAUCGGUUUGCUUUAAUGGAAAUGAUUCUUUAGCAAUUAAUAGCGAAUAUAAGAAAUAAUAGUAGGUAAGAAUCUAACUUUUCAUAUAUAUACGAGGGUUGAUCGAAUAUUUUAAAGAUUUACUGUCACAAAUUUUUUGAUGUACUAAUAGGUUUGGUAGGUAAUUUAAUUUUUUUUUUUUUGUUAUUGACAAUUUUCCGCCAUCUAACUGUUGUUACAAACCUGAAGCUUAGAUUGAUAGAUGGCAUAUGAAGCUUUUAUCUGUCCGACCAUCCCUUUGGUUUCUAUAGAUAAAGUUUAAAAAUGAAACUAAGGCCAUAUUUGUGGGCUUUAAAAAGGCAAACACAUUUUUUCAAAAAAAAAUUCCUAGGGUUGUCUGUUUUUAAACUACCUUUAUCUCGUCGUGUCGUUAAAAGUAAUUAGAUUACAGCACUGUAAGUUGCGUCCAAUUCUUUAAUGUUAUCUAUUCUGACGAAAUAGUUUAUUUUUAACAUCUCUCACUACUUUGUUGCCAAUAUUUACUACACUACUACUACUCGGAAAAAUAAUCCACAACAUUGAAAGCGUUUAAUGUUGGAGGAUUUUUCUUCGAAUAAAACAAAAACAUGGCAAAUAGGUUUCUAGAUAGGAAACGAACGAACUUUGAAGAUGUUAAGCACUAAGUUCAACAGAUGAAGUUUACUUUGAAAGAUUAAAAAAGCAAAUGAGAAAGUUAUAGCUGGCCCUUAGGCUUACAUAUUGUGAUUGCAAAAUAUAUUACGAAAAUUGAACUUGUCAGUUGGCCCGUGGGGAUCGUUUUUACACUAUUCUUUGUACCAAGUUUGAGACAAAUAUGUUUUCGUAUUUUUUGCGUAUUUGUACGUGAUGGAUCACUAUUGUUUUCAACUAAGGGAGUAUAAAUCACGUUCGUUCCUUUGUCAAUUUAUAUCUGUGAGCAUUCCAACGACAAAUGUCAUUUAUUGCAAACGGAAAUAUAAAUUCAGUACAACUAUAUUAAUAGUCACAGGAUUUAUUAAUUACAAACGAUGCGGUGGCCGUUACUUCAUAAAAAAUAAUAGCAUUAAAGUUGAAUAACAAUACUAAAGAUCCGAUUGCUCGUAUCUAUUAAUGUCUCAUCAAAAAAGGAGGUUCGUGGUGAUAUUAACAAUUUGUUUGUCCGAUCCCGAGCAAGCUAUUUUGUUAUUUCGGCAUAGUAAAAAACUAGGCAGUAAAAAUAAAUAAACUUCAAAAAACAUCGUAACAAUUUUGAUUACGAUGAUUGCCUCGUUAUUUAACUAUACUUUCCGUGCGUUAACGAAAGGCAGGAAUAAUGUGCUAAGGCAAGUGCGAGAUUUUCGUUAGUCGUCAAUAAAUCUCAUAUUAGAUAUGGCUUUCAAAGUAAGAAAAUAUCAGCAAAUGUUUAAUCUUUUGAUCAGCCCUCGUAUACCCUUCGCAUGCAUGAAAAUAUGAAUUCAUAUGCUUAUGAAAUACGUAUUAUCUUUUGCUUACUCAAUGUACACGUGUUUAUACAUUUACGAAAAUUUAUUAUAAUUUCUUUAAUGUUAUUAUUAUUAUUAUUAUUACUAUUAUUAUUAUUAUUACAGAGAGCAGUACUUACGAGAAAGAUUGAAUUAAGUUUACAUUGAUUAACUUUCUUAAUUUAUUUAUAUACUUUCCUGUAAAACUAAAGUGCGAAAUUUCUGUUUGUUAUGCAUAUGAGAGAAAUGAGUUGUAGUUCUUUGUUUUUAUUUAAUCUUUUAUUUUAUAAAUUAACGAGAGUUAAUGCUGUUUGGAGUUUUUCUUGUUUCCUUUUUUUUAACAAUUUAGUAAGAACUUAAAAAAAAGGAGAAAAUUCAUCAUAAUAAUAACUAGAUUUAUUUAAAAGAAUGCUUUUUUGCCGGCAGCAAAAGGCAGAACUUAAGUAUUUUCUUUUUAACCGAAAGUAUAUUUUAAACAAAAGAAAUUUUUAAUAACUUUUUUUAAUUUCAAUUCAACAUUCGUACACUAGUAGAAAAUCAACCAAUGCUUACAAUAAUCUUAGUUAUCCAACAUCUUAGAUGUGUAUAUGAGCGUCAGAGAAAAUUCAUUUAAAUUUAACGCUGAGUUCUUUCUAAUAUAUGUUUAGAUAUGCAUAGAAUUUUCUAUAACUUAAGUAUUUUUCUAUUUGUAAGACUUUUAAAGGAUGCCCAGGGUCCAUUCGAUCAUUUUCGCAAAGAAUUUUUAUUAAACUAUAAAACUUUGCUAAUUAUAUGGCUGUUUAGUGUUUACAGUCUUUUAUCCAUAACUUAACCUUUCUUUAACUGUAAACAUGUGUACGACUAACAAGUCAAUAAAGGCUACAUUUCCACAAAAUUGCUUUCACAAUUUAAGGCUUUGUGAAUUGUAAGUUGAUCAAUGAAUAUUUCGGCUCGACUUGAGUACAGAACUUUUUUCUUAACUCAAUAAUGUGUAUAGUUUAAAGUCCGUAGAAUUUUUGCACACUUCGAUAUUCCUUAAAUACUGGAAGCUUUGUUACUGACGUGUCAGGUCGUUAUUCUACAAUGAUGGCUAUAAAAAUGUAAUUCAUAUUGUAGAGCUAUGCUUCGAACGGAUAGACGGACGUGGCUACUUCAGUUUGGUAAUGAAUUUGCUAUAUAAAUUUUGAUACCACGAUGGCGCCAAGUUCAUCAAAAUUUUUGGUUAACUGGAUCAUAGCAAAUUCUCUAAUAAUUUCUUUUCUCUUAUUCGGGAAACCGUCAAAGGUGGUAUAAUAAUUGCUCUAAAAGUAAAAUUGUUUUUUUUAACUUUGUUUCAUAAUGCUUAUGAUUGUUUGGGCUCUUGAAUUAGAAGAAGAUUACUACAAAGGUGCCGCCGUUAUUUGCUUUGCUCCAAGUUUUAACGUUCCCAUUUUGGACAACUGCCUCCGAGUUCGGCGCGCUAAUUGACUGGUAUCAAUCAUUCCGAAAAUAACAAAAACCUUUCCACGAUGAUAAUUGAUAUUCAUUGAGACAUGAUUAUUGAGACAUUAUAGCGUCAUAACAGGUUAACGUCAAGUUCAAACUUUCUUUUUAGAUUUUUUUUUUGCGGAGGUGACAGUUUAAACUGGAAAUGACGGGUACACAUGUCUAAACUGACUCAAAAUAUUGCCCUUAUGAGACAUACGUCCAGUCUGUGACAAAGCUGAUACCUACUCCUGUUCUUUUCAGCUGGAGAAAGCAUUUAUCAAGUUUCACAGCAAAACAAAUAGAUCUUUCGUUGUUUAAUUUUUGUUUUCUUCCUGCAAGUUGAGCUUACACAAGCAAUUGUACCUGGUUUACGUGGUAUUUGUUCUUAUCUAAAAAGCAUAAUAUUAAUAAGCUCCUAUUAAGUCGUCAUAACCGGAAUGCAUCGCUUUAAUCAUCAGGUACUGCUUCUAAAGCUAAUGGUCAAGAUUUAGAGAUAGAUUUAGAUUACAUUUGCAGUAGAAAGCUCGCACGUAACGAUUAUUUUCCGUUGUCAAACUUAAUCCGAUUUGAAGGGCAAUAUUAGAGUCUUAUUCUUUACAGUCACAAAAAGCGGGUCACGCUUCUCGCAGUGAUUUAGUAAUAGCUAUCCCCACGUGAAUUAAGAGUUAUAAAUGAAAUGUCGUUGGCAUUAUCACAAUCCUGUGUGUUCAUUUUAUAAGAUUAAAAUUCAAGUGAUGGAUUUGUGUUACUCUGUAUGGUAUAGUAAAUCGAAAGUACAACGGAUAGAAAUUAAAGCAUUCUUUGAAUAAAAUGUGAGCGUUCAAACGCAUUAAAAAAACUUUCUGUUACUCUAUCGCAUUAGUGAAAGUUUUAUUAAAUAUCUUAAAUGUUAUAAGUCUUUUUAUGUUUAAUUGUAAAGAAGUAAAUACUUGGAUGCGAAAAUUCACAACCUCCAUAAUUCAGUUCAUUUACUUUUAAAAUAUUAAGUAGGAAAGAUUACGAAUAAUUUGUCUUCGGAAAUUUCAGUAACAUUCUUGUGCAUGUGUAAAGACUUUCCUUUUGGAGUUUAGGAAUAAGAUCAGAAUGACGGUCAGAAUAGGUGCACAUCACACUCGGCUGAAACUUAUGACGAUUUUCUACUGCAAAUAUGACCCGAGUGCUUGCACGUAAGGUUUGGUCGAAAAUUAUUGUAAAUUUAUUUAACUGAUUUAAGCGAAACGCAGCACGUAAGAAAAUAAACAUUACAUAAAAUAAAACAUGUCAUUACCCACAAAAGUGAAACAGAACUCUUCCAUUCCACCAAAUGGUACAACUCAAAAAUUAUUUCAGUUAUGCAGUCUAAGAUAAUGGCCUAGCCUAUAAGAGUCAUUUAUUUAGAGACAUUCCGUUUAAGGCGCUAACUACAAAUUAUUAACCGCAAAGUACACCUCAAUCGGAAAUCAUCAAAAGGACCACGAAUAGUAAUUUUAUGUUCAUUUAUAAUGUUACAUAUACGGUUUUAAUCAUUUAUUUUUGGAAGAGAUGUCGAAAGCGCAAAAGUAUGUUCUAUUAGAAAAUUUAAAUGACUGAGGUCGCUUUAUCAGAGAUAAACGCCAUGACGGUAACCUCAAACAAUUUUUAAAAGUGCUGAUGUGAUAUACCUUGAAGUUUGGAGGAUUGGGGAAAAAUUCAAACAAGUUACGACACGCUUAUCUUGUAAGAAAGCUCUGUUUUGCUAGAUUACAGCUUCUAAUUUGUUUGUGAAAUGAUCGAUCGCCUUAAAUCGCAUCUCAGAAAGCUAUAAAGCGCAAUUUCUCCCUAGUAAUUUUGAAAUUUCCCUAAUAAGUUAUGUUACAAAGUCCACUCUAUGGCGUACAUUCAUCCCAAAGGAGCACAUAUAUGCAUGAUAAGUUUUGACCUGUAUAAACAUGUCAGUAAGCUAAUAGAAUCCACGUCGAACAGUAUUAGGUGACUAUUACGUAUUUAAACAAUAUCGUCAUUCAUCUUAAUUUUUAAAGAUUUGCGGGAACUUUCAAAAUUCUAUUUACCUGUUAACGUAAACGAAAAUUAUAAGUGUAGAGACUUCAGAUUAAAUUUUCGUCAUUUUAAGGAAUUAAAAAGUGAUCACGAAACGUAUCUAAGUGAUUACAUCGGUUCAAAGGUUUUUCCUAUACAAGAAAAUAUAAUUCUUUUAUGGGGGAACGUUGCAACGGAAUGAAAUCUCAUAUAUAGUGAACGGGACUAAAAACCAUAAGAUUUGAUGCGAUCUAAAUUAACAUCGCAUUUAAACUUUGUAAGCUGUCCUUCUUAGGUUAAUUCCCUAAUAUUUUGUGGUCUUUACUUUUCUCUACAACUUUUCCUACACU